GUGUUCACCUUGACAGGGCCCUGUGCUAAUCACGAGUCUUUCCUGUUCAGAGCAGUGAGGCCUGAGACCCUCAACGGUGCUGUGUGUACAGAAGGCCCCCAGAAUCCACAGAAAGGGCCCGCCUGAAACCUAGAGCAUUUGUGAAGGAGGAGAAUGGAAGGAACAACUGGAUGUUGUAAAUGUUUCUCAUCUGGCCUUAAAAUCCAUGAAAGCUGGAAAAUGCCAAGGCAUCUGUGCACAUACUGGUGGAUUUUAAUGAGAGUCCUGUGUUUGGAGCACCAGAAAUAAACCAGCUUCAGAAGCAAAAACGACGUUAACAGGAGGAGGAAGCAGAGCUAGAGCUGGAAGGAGACCCAGCCAGCCCGGGCUCCAGUGACAUCAGCCGGUACACGCUCUUGUUUGCUUACGCUUGUUGAACUGAGUUUUUCAUAUGUAACUAACCAAUACUGGCACAUGUGAGCCCGAGAAUUUGCAUUUCUGACAAGAUCCCAGGACCACCGCCUACUUUAAGAGAGAACACAGACAAUUCACCUCCAUAAAGGCACAGCCAGGGAGAGGAGUAGGCAGAGGUGACAGCAGAUCAUGGGGCUUCUCUUGAAAGGAAGACACCUCCCAGUAACGAACCCUCAUCGUCCAUUUACUGACUUAUCCUUAUGUCACUAGGAUUUGAACGUCUAUGACACUCUUCCGAGCUGACACAGUGAAGAACAUGGAAGGAGAACUCACCCAGUCUGCCAGGGUCACAGAUGAUCAUACUCAAGAUCUUCCUGGGGAGUCAACGGCAAAUUUCACUGGGCUACUUUACAGAUGAAGAAGGAAUAUAAAGAAGGUUCUGGGACCCU
rnacentral:sRNA from 1 species